GACACAGGACACAAUUUCUUGCCAGGGUCCUGGUAGCUUCCUCUUCAACAGCCACUUCCGUGUGGCCGGGGCCCCAGGGGCAGGAGCUGCUGCCCGUUGCCCAGGCCACCCUCCACCCCCAAUUGGGAGCCCUGCCCCCCUGGGGCCGGGCCAAGCCCAGCAGCUGGCUGGGAUCCCAUGGGGGACUGGUAGGGCACAGGUCUUGGGGGAUAGAGGUGACCGGGCCAGUGCCCUGGGGCUCUGGCCAUGAAGUCUCGGCAGAAAGGAAAGAAGAAGGGCAGCGCAAAGGAGCGGGUUUUUGGGUGCGACUUGCAGGAGCACCUGCAGCACUCAGGCCAGGAGGUGCCCCAGGUGCUAAAGAGCUGUGCAGAAUUUGUGGAGGAGUAUGGAGUGGUGGAUGGGAUCUACCGCCUCUCAGGGGUCUCCUCCAACAUCCAGAAGCUUCGGCAGGAAUUUGAGUCAGAGCGGAAGCCAGACCUGCGUCGGGAUGUUUACCUCCAAGACAUUCACUGCGUCUCCUCCCUGUGCAAGGCCUAUUUCAGAGAACUGCCGGAUCCCCUGCUCACUUACCGGCUCUACGACAAGUUUGCUGAGGCUGUAGGAGUGCAAUUGGAACCUGAGCGCUUGGUCAAGAUCCUAGAGGUGCUUCGAGAACUCCCUGUCCCAAACUACAGGACCCUGGAGUUCCUCAUGAGGCACUUGGUACACAUGGCCUCAUUCAGUGCCCAGACCAACAUGCAUGCUCGCAACCUGGCCAUCGUGUGGGCUCCCAACCUGCUGAGGUCUAAGGACAUAGAGGCCUCAGGCUUCAAUGGGACAGCGGCCUUCAUGGAGGUGCGGGUACAAUCCAUCGUCGUGGAGUUCAUCCUCACACACGUGGACCAGCUCUUUGGGGGUGCUGCCCUCUCUGGUCAGUGUCCUUCCUGCCCUCCACAUAUCCCACUGUUGGGGAGUCAAGUUAGUUACAGAGAGCCUUGAAGAUCACCUACUUCAGUUGAGUCUCAUACAGGGAUGUUGGUAGUGGCCACAUGGAGAGAACCCUGGGGAGAUAAUUGUGCAGUCAGGACUUGAGAAGACUUCUUCUGCUGUCAGUCUAGGGCAUGGCUUGACCUCUGAGUCACCAUCCUGGCUCCCAAGGCUAGUGAUGGCUCAUAUCCACCCCCAGCCCACCAGGCCAACGUCCUGGGAUCUCCCAGCCCUCUUUGUCCAUGAGGGCACUCUUUUGAGGUGAUGGACAUGGAGGCACUGUCUUCAGGGGCUUCUGAAUAUAUCCCUAACCUGGUAGUUGGCGAGGGGUGAUGAAGGAUUGGGUGCCUGAGGUCCCUCUCUUGGCUCUGUUCCUGGCUGGCCAAUUCCUUUUCUUUUCCCAGGUGGUGAGGUGGAGAGUGGAUGGCGAUCGCUUCCAGGGACCCGGGCAUCAGGCAGCCCCGAGGACCUUAUGCCCAGGCCACUGCCUUAUCACCUGCCUAGCAUACUGCAAGCUGGUGAUGGACCCCCACAGAUGCGGCCCUACCAUACUAUCAUCGAGAUUGCAGAGCACAAGAGGAAGGGGUCUUUGAAGGUCAGGAAGUGGAGGUCUAUCUUCAAUUUAGGUCGCUCUGGCCAUGAGACUAAGCGUAAACUUCCACGGGGGGCUGAGGACAGGGGUAAGUCUGGGGAGAUCGGGGGAGCUCUGCUGAGGGUGCACAAGGCCCUGGCUCUACACACAUCCCUGUCUUACAGAGGAUAAAUCCAACAAGGGGACACUGCGGCCAGCCAAAAGCAUGGACUCACUGAGUGCUGCAGCUGGGGCCAGUGAUGAGCCAGAGGGGCUGGUGGGGCCCAGCAGCCCCCGGCCAAGCCCAUUGCUGCCUGAGAGCUUGGAGAACGAUUCUAUAGAGGCAGCAGAGGGUGAACAGGAGCCUGAGGCAGAAGCAUUGGGUGGCACAAACUCUGAACCAGGCACACCACGAGCUGGGCGGUCAGCCAUCCGGGCUGGGGGCAGCAGCCGUGCAGAACGCUGUGCUGGUGUCCACAUCUCAGACCCCUACAAUGUCAACCUCCCGCUACACAUCACCUCUAUCCUCAGUGUGCCCCCGAACAUCAUCUCUAACGUUUCUUUGGCCAGGCUCACCCGUGGCCUUGAGUGCCCUGCUCUACAGCACCGGCCAAGCCCUGCCUCUGGCCCUGGCCCUGGCCCUGGCCUUGGCCCUGGCCCCCCAGAUGAAAAGUUGGAAGCAAGUCCAGCCUCAAGUCCCCUGGCAGACUCAGGCCCAGACGACUUGGCUCCUGCCCUGGAGGACUCGCUGUCCCAGGAGGUGCAGGACUCCUUCUCCUUCCUAGAGGACUCAAGCAGCUCAGAACCUGAGUGGGUGGGGGCAGAGGAUGGGGAGGUGGCCCAGGCAGAAGCAGCAGGAGCAGCCUUCUCCCCUGGGGAGGACGACCCUGGGAUGGGCUACCUGGAGGAGCUCCUGGGAGUUGGGCCUCAGGUGGAGGAGUUCUCUGUGGAGCCACCCCUGGAUGACCUGUCUCUGGAUGAGGCACAGUUUGUCUUGGCCCCCAGCUGCUGUUCCCUGGACUCCGCUGGCCCCAGGCCUGAAGUUGAGGAGGAAAAUGGGGAGGAAGUUUUCCUGAGUGCCUAUGAUGACCUAAGUCCCCUUCUGGGACCUAAACCCCCAAUCUGGAAGGGUUCAGGGAGUCUGGAGGGAGAGGCAGCAGGAUGUGGAAGGCAGGCUCUGGGACAGGGUGGGGAAGAGCAGGCAUGCUGGGAAGUUGGGGAGGACAAGCAGGCUGAGCCUGGAGGCAGGCUAGACAUCAGGGAAGAGGCAGAGGGAAGUCCAGAGACCAAGGUGGAGGCUGGAAAGGCCAGUGAGGAUAGAGGGGAGGCUGGGGGAAGCCAAGAGACAAAAGUCAGAUUGAGAGAAGGCAGUAGGGAAGAGACAGAGGCCAAGGAAGAGAAGUCCAAAGGUCAGAAGAAGGCUGACAGUAUGGAGGCUAAAGGUGUGGAGGAACCAGGAGGAGAUGAGUAUACAGAUGAGAAGGAAAAAGAAAUUGAGAGAGAAGAGGAUGAACAAAGAGAGGAAGCCCAGGUAGAAGCUGGAAGGGACCUAGAGCAAGGGGCCCAGGAAGAUCAAGUUGCUGAGGAGAAAUGGGAAGUUGUACAGAAACAAGAGGCUGAGGGAGUCAGAGAGGAUGAGGACAAAGGACAGAGGGAGAAGGGGUACCAUGAAGCAAGAAAAGACCAGGGAGAUGGUGAAGACAGCAGAAGCCCAGAAGCAGCAACUGAAGGAGGAGCAGGGGAGGUCAGCAAGGAACGGGAGAGUGGGGAUGGAGAGGCUGAGGGAGACCAGAGGGCUGGAGGGUACUAUUUAGAAGAGGACACCCUCUCUGAAGGUUCAGGUGUAGCGUCCCUGGAGGUUGACUGUGCCAAAGAGGGCAAUCCUCACUCUUCUGAGAUCGAAGAGGUAGCCCCACAGCCACCUCAGCCAGAGGAGAUGGAGCCUGAGGGGCAGCCCAGUCCAGACGGCUGUCUAUGCCCCUGUUCUCUUGGCCUGGGUGGCGUGGGCAUGCGUCUAGCUUCCACUCUGGUUCAGGUCCAACAGGUCCGCUCUGUGCCUGUGGUGCCCCCCAAGCCACAGUUUGCCAAGAUGCCCAGUGCAAUGUGUAGCAAGAUUCAUGUGGCACCUGCAAAUCCAUGCCCGAGGCCUGGCCGGCUUGAUGGGACUCCUGGAGAAAGGGCCUGGGGGUCCCGAGCUUCUCGAUCCUCUUGGAGGAAUGGGGGUAGUCUUUCCUUUGAUGCUGCUGUGGCCCUAGCCCGGGACCGCCAAAGGACUGAGGCUCAAGGAGUUCGGCGAACCCAGACCUGUACUGAGGGUGGGGAUUACUGCCUCAUCCCCAGAACCUCCCCUUGUAGCAUGAUCUCUGCCCAUUCUCCUCGGCCCCUUAGCUGCCUGGAGCUCCCAUCUGAAGGUGCAGAAGGGUCUGGAUCCCGGAGUCGUCUUAGUCUGCCCCCCAGAGAACCCCAGGUUCCUGACCCCCUGUUGUCCUCUCAGCGCAGGUCAUAUGCAUUUGAAACACAGGCUAACCCUGGGAAAGGUGAGGGACUGUGAUUAGGACCACAGCCCUGGGCAAAGGGGACCAGUAAGUUGUCUUGAAUCUCCAGGGUUCCUGACUAGCUGUCUCCUCUGCAGCAUGAGCAGCUGUAGUGCCCAACUCUAUAGGCUUUGGCCCUCCAGCUUCUCUCUUUGACUGUGGGAGGCACUGCCUUGGUUGGUUUACCUGAACUUGUCUCAGACACAAAGCACUUAUCUCUUAGGAGAUUCCCAAGAAAGUCAACAAGAUCUUGUUCCCAGGGAGUGGGUCAUUGGCCAAAGGGAACAUAAGGUAGGCAGAAAACUUAAAAGAGUUUGUUAAAGUGAAGACUGGAGAAAUUCCUCCCUUCCUCUGAGCUGUGAAUCUCUCUUCAUGAAAGCCAAAGCUAGAGACAGGGAGGACAGGGCCAGGUUAGGGCCUUCCACACACAAACACUUCUAGAGUUGCCCAUUCCUGUUAUGUUCUUGGACCCUAAGAUACCUCCUGUCCCUUUUAAAUCCAGAUUAAGAGAAACGUCCAGGAAGAGCUCUUUGAAGCCCUCAAUAUUUGUUGGAGGGACUGGACUCCUCUCCAGCUCCCCACCCUCUGCCUCCAGUCACCAUGUGCAAGAGAGGUCCUGUACAGAUCUCUCUGGGCUCUCCUUUUUCCUUUGGAAUAACUUCUUCCUAUUUCAGGAAAGGGAAAUGGUGUCACUCAGGCCCUGGGACUGCUUCUCCAGCCAUGCUGGGGCCACAGGUCCCACUCUAGUGAAGGUCAAUGUCUCAGAAUAAAAGCUGUAUUUUUACA
rnacentral:sRNA from 1 species